rnacentral:rRNA from 1 species
UAAGCAUAUCAAUAAGCGGAGGAAAAGAAACUAACAAGGAUUCCCCUAGUAACUGCGAGUGAAGCGGGAAAAGCUCAAAUUUGAAAUCUGGCAGUCUCUUUUUUCUUCUUUGGCUGUCCGAGUUGUAAUCUAGAGAAGUGCUUACCUGCACUGGACCAUGUAUAAGUCUCCUGGAAUGGAGCAUCACAGAGGGUGAGAAUCCCGUCUUUGACAUGGACUGCCAGUGUGUUGUGGUGUGCUCUCAAAGAGUCGAGUUGUUUGGGAAUGCAGCUCUAAAUGGGUGGUAAACUCCAUCUAAAGCUAAAUACUGGCGAGAGACCGAUAGUGAACAAGUACCGUGAGGGAAAGAUGAAAAGGACUUUGGAAAGAGAGUUAAACAGUAUGUGAAAUUGUUGAAAGGGAAACGCUUGAAGUCAGUUAUGUUGGCUAGGGAUCAACCUAGCUGUUUUUUGCUGGGUGAAUUUCCUAGUCUGACAGGCCAACAUCAGUCUUGACUGCUGGAAAAGAGCAGAGGGAAUGUGGCACCUUUGGGUGUGUUAUAGCCCUUUGUCAUAUGUGACAGUUGGGACUGAGGGAUGCAGCGUGCCAUGAGGCUGGGUCUUGACCACGUACACGCUUAGGAUGUUGGCUUUUAAUGGCUUCAAUCGA